ACGCCACUUUGUGGGUGAAAGAAGGCAAUCAACUUGGCGAGUCGACUUUCACGUGAAAAACACAACUUUCUUGUCUGUUUUUAGUGCUGUCAGGAGACAUCACGGAUUUCUGCUGGGCUCAGCGGUGCGUGAAUGGGGAAUAAAAUGUAAAACAGCCGAGUUUCUGAAGAUAAAAAGGAAUUAUGAACCAAAGCGAGCUAUUCAAAUGGUGUUCGACUCUUUAAGAGGCUCUCGAGAAGGAGUUGGUGCUUUCAAAUAGGUCGCCAACAAAGUUGUAAAAUUCAGAAAUGUUCUUGUUAAAACAUAAAUAUAGACGCUGCUGACUUUCUA